GGAUACGUCCCAGACUAUGACAACACCCCCAUCCAACGACUGUGAUCUGAGGACCCUUUUUUCCAGCAGCGACGGAGUAACGCACUUGGCCCUAACCACUGCUCCAUAAUUCCUGACCGUCAUCCUUCCCUCUCCUCAUGGUGUGCCAGUUGGGGUUGGUGCGCUGUCCAACUGUUGCCUGCCGUAUAGCCUCCUGCUGCUCCACCGACAGCGUCAUGUCAGCCAGGAUGCCUGCAUGCCCCCAGGGAGGGUAGCGGUUGUUCUGACUCAGGUUUAAGGAGACAUGCCAUUCCACCGAACCUGCCCCUGGAGACUGUUCCUCCAACCAAGAUCCUCUGUGGGCUCACGGGACAGAGGGUUGUAGUCUUCAGCCAGGUAAAGAUCCUCCACUUGGUUGGGCACGGCUGGCUUCCUCCACUCUGCAUUCCACAUCCGUACGGCCAAUAUUGUGAACCGGCAAAAUAGGCUGCAUGGCUACACUGAUGAGCUCCAUGGGGGCAUUUCCAUGUUGUAGAGAGAAUCCCCUGGUCACCUAGAGACCUGCAAACAGGAAGUGGUCACCUAUAGAGACCUGACAACAGGAAGUGGUCACCUGUAGAGACCUGCCAACAGGAAGUGGUCACCUGUAGAGACCUGCCAACAGGAAGUGGUCACCUGUAGAGACCUGCCAAAAGGAAGUGGUCACCUGUAGAGACCUGCCAACAGGAACUGGUCACCUAGAGACCUGCCAAAAGGAAGUGGUCACCUAUAGAGACCUGCCAAAAGGAAGUGGUCACCUAUAGAGACCUGCCAACAGGAAGUGGUCACCUAGAGACCUGCCAACAGGAAGUGGUCACCUGUAGAGACCUGCCAAAAGGAAGUGGUCACCUAUAGAGACCUGCCAACAGGAAGUGGUCACCUGUAGAGACCUGCCAACAGGAACUGGUCACCUAGAGACCUGCCAACAGGAAGUGGUCACCUGUAGAGACCUGCCAACAGGAAGUGGUCACCUGUAGAGACCUGCCAAAAGGAAGUUGUCACCUAUAGAGACCUGCCAACAGGAAGUGGUCACCUGUAGAGACCUGCCAACAGGAAGUGGUCACCUGUAGAGACCUGCCAAAAGGAAGUGGUCACCUGUAGAGACCUGCCAACAGGAAGUGGUCACCUAUAGAGACCUGCCAAAAGGAAGGUGGUUAAGUGACACAUGACUUUGAACCUGGAAAUGCAUUAGCUGUAAGAAAUGUGCUAUAUAAAUAGUUUGAUUUAAUUUAUGAAAUUACAGCUGGAGAAUAUUUAAUGAACUGUAAUUUUCACAUGAGGACAAGUGAAGAUUUUCCAUCAACUUUCAUUGAUACUGUAUCAAUCAUUUUAGUGGGAAAGGAUCCUAUAGAUCAAGACUGUGUGAAUCCAUGUACCACUCUAAAUAAAUAAACACUGUGUUUCUCAAGA